rnacentral:rRNA from 1 species
AUUGAACGCUGGCGGCAUGCUUUACACAUGCAAGUCGAGCGGCAGCGCGGGGCAACCUGGCGGCGAGCGGCGAACGGGUGAGUAAUGCAUCGGAACGUGUCCCGUAGUGGGGGAUAACCCGGCGAAAGCCGGACUAAUACCGCAUAUUCUCUACGGAGGAAAGGGGGGGACCCGCAAGGGCCUCUCGCUAUGGGAGCGGCCGAUGUCCGAUUAGCUUGUUGGUGAGGUAAUGGCUUUCCAAGGCGACGAUCGGUAGCUGGUCUGAGAGGAUGAUCAGCCACACUGGGACUGAGACACGGCCCAGACUCCUACGGGAGGCAGCAGUGGGGAAUUUUGGACAAUGGGGGCAACCCUGAUCCAGCCAUGCCGCGUGCGGGAAGAAGGCCUUCGGGUUGUAAACCGCUUUUGUCCGGAAAGAAAAGGCGCCUCCUAAUACGGGGCGUUCUUGACGGUACCGGAAGAAUAAGCACCGGCUAACUACGUGCCAGCAGCCGCGGUAAUAC